GACGAACGCUGGCGGCGUGCCUAACACAUGCAAGUCGAACGAGUGGCGAACGGGUGAGUAACGCGAAGCAACCGGCCCUACAGAGGGGGACAACGGUUGGAAACGACUGCUAAUACCGAAUACUGUAGGAGGGAUUGCGUCGGAUUAGCUAGUGGGAGGGGUAACGGCCCACCUAGGCGACGAUCCCUAGCUGGUCUGAGAGGAUGAUCCGCCACACUGGGACUGAGACACGGCCCAGACUCCUACGGGAGGCAGCAGUGGGGAAUAUUGCACAAUGGGCGCAAGCCUGAUGCAGCCAUGCCGCGUGUAUGAAGAAGGCCUUCGGGUUGUAAAGUACUUUCAGUCGGGAGGCGUUACCGACAGAAGAAGCACCGGCUAACUCCGUGCCAGCAGCCGCGGUAAUAC
rnacentral:rRNA from 1 species